rnacentral:misc_RNA from 1 species
AAGUAUGCUUCCGGUGAAUUCUCCAUGGCUGUUGUUCAAGCCAACCAAGUUCUUGAGGACCAGAGCCAAAUUGAAUCUGGCCCUUUUGGUACUUUCGUCGGAAUCUACGAUGGUCAUGGUGGUCCUGACGCUGCUCGUUACGUCUGUGAUAACUUGUUUAGACGUUUCCAAGAUGAGCAACGAGGAGUUGUGACUCGUGAAACCAUUCUGAAUGCUUUUCGUCGAACGGAGGAAGGGUUCACGGCUGUUGUGUCAGAGUUGUGGAAUACUCGACCCCAGAUAGCAACAGUUGGGACAUGCUGUCUAGUAGGGGUGAUACACGAGCAGACACUCUACAUUGCGAGUCUAGGAGAUUCUCGUGCUGUGUUAG